AGCGAACGCUGGCGGCAGGCUUAACACAUGCAAGUCGAGCGGGCCCUUCGGGGUCAGCGGCAGACGGGUGAGUAACACGUGGGAACGUGCCCUUCGGUUCGGAAUAACUCAGGGAAACUUGAGCUAAUACCGGAUACGCCCUUAUGGGGAAAGGUUUACUGCCGAAGGAUCGGCCCGCGUCUGAUUAGCUAGUUGGUGGGGUAAUGGCCCACCAAGGCGACGAUCAGUAGCUGGUCUGAGAGGAUGAUCAGCCACACUGGGACUGAGACACGGCCCAGACUCCUACGGGAGGCAGCAGUGGGGAAUAUUGGACAAUGGGCGCAAGCCUGAUCCAGCCAUGCCGCGUGUGUGAUGAAGGCCUUAGGGUUGUAAAGCACUUUCGAC
rnacentral:rRNA from 1 species